rnacentral:rRNA from 1 species
AGAGUUUGAUCCUGGCUCAGGACGAACGCUGGCGGCGUGCCUAAUACAUGCAAGUCGAGCGGAUUUCAUGAGGAGCUUGCUCCUCAUGAGGUCAGCGGCGGACGGGUGAGUAACACGUGGGUAACCUGCCCACAAGAUCGGGAUAACAUCCGGAAACGGAUGCUAAUACCGGAUACACAAUUUCUUCGCAUGGAGGGAUU